CAGGCGGUGUAUUAAGUCAGUGGUGAAAUGCUGCGGCUCAACCGUAGACUUGCCAUUGAUACUGGUACACUUGAAUGUAGUUUGAGGUAGGCGGAAUGUGUAAUGUAGCGGUGAAAUGCUUAGAUAUUACACAGAACACCGAUUGCGAAGGCAGCUUACUAAACUAUGAUUGACGCUGAGGCACGAAAGCGUGGGGAGCGAACAGGAUUAGAUACCCUGGUAGUCCACGCUGUAAACUAUGAUCACUGGUUGUUGGCAAUAUACCGUCAGCGACUGAGCGAAAGCAUUAAGUGAUCCACCUGGGGAGUACGUCGGCAACGAUGAAACUCAAAGGAAUUGACGGGGGCCCGCACAAGCGGAGGAACAUGUGGUUUAAUUCGAUGAUACGCGAGGAACCUUACCUGGGCUUAAAUGUAGAGUGCAUAGAGUGGAAACAUUCUUUUCCUUCGGGACUCUUUACAAGGUGCUGCAUGGUUGUCGUCAGCUCGUGCCGUGAGGUGUCGGGUUAAGUCCCAUAACGAGCGCAACCCUUGUCGUUAGUUGCUAGCAGGUCAAGCUGAGGACUCUAACGGGACUGCCGGUGUAAACCGAGAGGAAGGUGGGGAUGACGUCAAAUCAGCACGGCCCUUAUGUCCAGGGCUACACGCGUGUUACAAUGGCCAGUACAAGGAGCAGCCACCUGGCAACAGGGCGCUAAUCUCAAAAGCUGGUCACAGUUCGGAUCGGAGUCUGCAACUCGACUUCGUGAAGGUGGAUUCGCUAGUAAUCGCGCAUCAGCCACGGCGCGGUGAUACGUUCCCGGGCCUUGUACACACCGCCCGUCAAGCCAUGGAAGCUGGGGGUACCUGAAGUCCGUAACCGCAAGGACGGCAUAGGGUAAACCGUGACUGGGGCGAAGUC
rnacentral:rRNA from 1 species